rnacentral:lncRNA from 1 species
UCAUAAAACUUCCCGGAAAUGUUCUCUUUGAAAAAGAGAUAAUAUUCAAAAGAAAAGAGAAGUGGGAAAAACUAAAUCGAGUUUCGUAGCAACUCAUAAAAGGAUUCACACGAUAAGUCUUCGAGGAAGGUUACUCCAGGCCUCGGACAAAAAGAUCCCGAACAGCGAAACAACGAUCGUCCAACUCGCCGAAGGGACGAGUUGGACCAAACGCACCCUCCAACUCGCCCGUUCGGCGAGGUGGGCCAGUACAUCUCUCCGAACGAGCGAG